ACAACAACAAAUAUAUAUAACACCCCAACAGAGUGCUACGAUGAAGGCAAAUGAUCAGGGAACUUCGUGGCAUAGAGAGACGAUAAACAAUAAUACCUGCAUCAAUCCUAUGAUGUAUCCAAAUUCCUUCUAACAACGACAUAACAUGCUGCCAUUCUCCAUCUCUUCUCCCUCUUCCUCGUCUCUUUUGUCUCAAAGGCAAUCGGGCACUUCGCCUCAAUGAAACCAUCACCCAAAUUUAUUCUCAACACAUGAAAUAACAGGUUGAUGAGGAUGAAGUUUACUGGAGACAAAAGAAAGGCAGUCGAGAGUUGGAAUGGCCACACAAUUCCACUCACCUCAUAUCACAAUUACCUCAAUGUUUUACCUCGUCUGGUUAUAUCUAAUGC